AAUCAUACGCCUAAACUCUUCUGAAACCUCAACAACCCUUCCAAUAAACCCAAACCUUACAGUACUAGAUCCACCCUAGCAUCGGAGUGCAAGAGAAGUCAGCCAGCCCUCAUUUAAGCUUUAUCUCUCUCUCCGAAUGCCAUCAGAGUAACAGCCAUCUGCAGCGAGUUUCCCCUCCUCUAACGAUGAGGGACAGCGUGAAACCGCCGCUAACGACCACCAUGGCAACCGGCCCUUCUGUUCUCCACAUCAAACCACCGCCGCAUUGCCAUGGGAACCAGCUCCCGCCGUCCUGCGACCUUAACUCUGACCUUUCUGAUCGGCCGACAUCUUUCCUCGCGGAUCUCGCGCUUAACAAGGUGUUUUUAUGAGCUCCAGACGAGACCUGCCGCGGCUUCUGUGGCUUUUUGCAUCACUCUCACCAACUUUAACAUCACGGUUCAGAGAGAAAAUAGAGCGACAUUGCACAGGCCGGAGCUGUGAAGGACUAUAUAAAGAUGAUGUUGGAGACCGAACAGCUGAAGUUUCUGGUCUUUGCUCAUCAUCUCAGUAUGCUGCAGGCGUGUACCGAGGCUGUCAUCGAGGCCAAGGUG